rnacentral:rRNA from 1 species
GACGAACGCUGGCGGCGUGCUUAACACAUGCAAGUCGAACGGAAAGGCCCUGCUUUUGUGGGGUGCUCGAGUGGCGAACGGGUGAGUAACACGUGAGUAACCUGCCCUUGACUUUGGGAUAACUUCAGGAAACUGGGGCUAAUACCGGAUAGGAGCUCCUGCUGCAUGGUGGGGGUUGGAAAGUUUCGGUGGUUGGGGAUGGACUCGCGGCUUAUCAGCUUGUUGGUGGGGUAGUGGCUUACCAAGGCUUUGACGGGUAGCCGGCCUGAGAGGGUGACCGGCCACAUUGGGACUGAGAUACGGCCCAGACUCCUACGGGAGGCAGCAGUGGGGAAUAUUGCACAAUGGGCGGAAGCCUGAUGCAGCAACGCCGCGUGCGGGAUGACGGCCUUCGGGCUGUAAACCGCUUUCGCCUGUGACGAAGCGUGAGUGACGGUAAUGGGUAAAGAAGCACCGGCUAACUACGUG